AUUAGCCAAGAAAAAAUGCUGCUGUUUCCUUUUUCGGACACAGAUUUUAGUCACAGAAACUUCAAGUGGAUGAAAUCAAGAUGAAGUGCAAUUAGACAUUUAGUUUGAUAUGUCAUUCCAUAAAGCAGAAAGACAUUUAGUUUGAUAUGUCAUUCCAUAAAGCAGAAAGACAUUUAGUUUGAUAUGUCAUUCCAUAAAGCAGAAAGACAUUUAGUUUGAUAUGUCAUUCCACAAAGCAGACAGACAUUUAGUUUGAUAUGUCAUUCCAUAAAGCAGAAAGACAUUUAGUUUGAUAUGUCAUUCCAUAAAGCAGACAGACAUUCCACUUAGCUUAUGGUAAUUACGUUUUUCUUUUAAAAUGUCUUCACUGUUAAUCCUCUUGUCAGAAAGACAUUUCACCUCAGUUUUGUCUAGUUUUAAUGUCUCUGGUCACUUCUGAACCGAUAGUCCUUGUCUGCAAAUGUUGUGUAUUUGUUUUUGAUGUCACAUGAUGUGCUCCAACACAGAUCCAAGCAUUAAUAUCCCAGGCUCACCGAUACUGUGUGAGGUAACUGUGUGUUAGAGCAUCUAUCUGCUGGCCUGUCUGUCCUUGUAUCCUGGGCUUUGAGCUCUGAGGUGAAGACUGGUGAUUGUGUGUGGUGACAUCCAAUGCCUUCUAACGGACUUGAGUCCCUCAUCCACGCUAUUUAUAGACGGCUGUGUCAAAUCUAGUUCAUACACCCCUUCCAACCCCACCACCCUACUGCCUCCAGAACAUUUCUGUUGAGUGGAGCCUCCAAGGACACACGGUUCACUGAGGAUAAAACCUCAGACAGUCUUUGACAACAAGCCAUGAGAGAAUGUUCCUGAAGGAGAGGGGCGGUCCGUUAGGCCUGAUCAGGGCAGAGUCACAUGCCAUUUGAUGCAGUCAUAACAACCAAUUUGACAUUUUGUUGAAAUAUAAAUGUUUUUAAAUACGGUAGUGGUUAAAUGCCAUAUAGAGAUGAGCUGGAUGAUUUUCCACAGUGGAGCAGUAGACAUUUAGCCAUAAACCGCUCAAUACUUAUUAAUUUAUUUUUUACAGUAAUUUACGUUUGUUACAUUUUUUAUGCUAUAAGCAAUACAGUUAAACAGAAUACCUGAAAAUGUCAUGUAGUUUAAGGGUGUGCUAUGCAGUAAACUCUGAAGUAUUCUGCUCUUCAGUGACCAAGUGUACCUACUACGGGGUAGGACAGGUUUGUAAUGUGUAUAUAAGAAGGUGGCUGAUGCAGUCAUUGUACACUGAUCUCUCUGAGUACUAUAGCUUAUCAUUGCCCACCAUUGGGUGUCUGAAUAUAGUGGAUUUAUUUUGUUUUUGUUCAGACCCUUAGUUGUCACUAACCUAAGUUCAGCACAGUGUUUUGUUCCAGUCAGCUCAGCCUAUUACCUCCACCUUACGCUGCCAGGUAGUACAGGCCAAAUCGUGACCAGAGAAGGGUAUGCAUGUGUAACUCAAAUUUUUAUGUAAAUUUGUCAUUGACGUCUAUGGAUUUGUGCUGAAAUUCAAAUUAUGUGCAUGGAUAUCCAGUUAGAUUUUGGCCUUACGAUCUCUCUUGGUCACGUGUAGCAAUCCAUUGGUUAGAUAUGGUAUGAAUGUUACGGUGUGUAUUUCAGCCCUGUAGGGUCAGAGUCUUCUCUUUGGUGAACUUUUACUCUCCAAAAUGUACUGCCUUACCAAGGGCUCUCAGCUGGGCCUGUCUCACAUUUUAUAGGAGAUGGUGUGGAGAGUGCAGAUGUUCUGAAAAAGGAUGCUGUAAACAGCCUGCCUGUGUCUGUGCACUGUUGUCAAAUGUUUUGUGAAUGGGUUGCAUCUCAUGUCCCACCUCCCUGGGGGCUCUUCUAGAAAGUAGGAUCAAUGAGUUAGCCAGCGAACAGUCCCCCAAAAAACAGGAAGAACUGCAUUUUUUUCUAGAUAUAUGAACUUUGACAUUUGUAAUGGUAUAAUUGACUUGACAACCAACAAUCCAUAUUCGGGUUUAGUUUUCUAAAUAAAAAUCAAGAGAUGUAUUUGACUGUUUAUCAAAGUUACCUGGCUACGGUAAUGAUCCUGCUUCCUGGAACACCCCACAGCUCAUCAACACACUCUUUCCGCCAGAUAUUCUUACUUCAGUAAAAUAUUAUUAACAAACAGCACUUCUGUGUCUUACCACGUCCUCUCCUCCCCUUGCCUUGCCACACACCAUGUGGAUCAAACACAGUAUUCUGGUCUGGGACAACCAUUCUAGGUGCAAAGCAGUGCCUCCUGUUUAUUUACCUCUUCCUCUCUGUCUUGAACACGGUAUGAGGCAGUGGCUGUAUGACCACUCUGACUCUCAGCAGACAGUCAGGUGGACAGGCACAUUAGCAGCACGCCAUCUGUUACACUCAGACUAGCAUCGUUCUCAGACUUCUGCUCGGAGCGUGAAAGAGCUACUUCAGCCGUUUUUUAGGUUCUUCUCUUGACUCUAACCAUCGUAAGAAAGGGGAAACAUUUGACCUGUACGUUUUUGACCUCACUCUUAUUACAGAGUCAAAGAAAAUUGCACUAAUUUGCCAUCCUUUAUAGUAUUAUAAAAUUAACGGUUAGUUAAUUGAAGUUUUUAAUUAUUAGCGCUAAACACAAAACCCAAUGAAACAAUCACUUGUCAGUUGUGCAUGUUUGUAGAGAUAAUGUUUUGUAUGGCUAUUAUCAAGCUUGUCAAUAAUGCCUUAAGAUCUGUACAAUGUGUUAAUGGAAUGAUGCUUAUAAGUGACCCAGUUUCCCUGUUUUUCUGUAGCUGCAAAGGUGGAUCAGUUCACUCUUGUUGUAUUGACCCCUCUUGGCACUCUCCUGGUGUUUUAUUCAUAAGCAGAAAGGCAUUUGGAAAUGGACUGUAUCUCCAGAUAGGGAGAGGUUACAGUGAGGGAUCAUGUUAGGGUGAGUCCCUAUCGCUGCUUGAAAGCUGGACCAGUAACUGACUCACUGUUGUUUUUUUUACACACACACACCACCCUCUGUUAAUGUGAGUGCAUGUUGGGAGUAGGUCCCUGAAGGUGAGAGGUUGUGCUCAAUGUAUUUUUGUUCUGGUCCUGUCUGAUCUAUUUGGGAGAGAAUGUGAGGCUUUUCAAACCAGUGACAACUUUCCUUUAUUGGUAACUGUAUGGUCUGUUUUUGUUUUGUGAUUAUGGAAAAAGGCUUUAUGACCCCUGUAUAAAGUAGCCCUGUUGGUCUGAUCUUGUAUGACUGAGGUAAAUAGACUGGAUGGGAUGGUGUUGUUGCCAGGCACUAGAGAUGCAGAAUAGAAUUAAAUCAGGAAGAUGAAUGGUUAAAAGUUAAUGGAGUCGUUGGGUAUUUUCAGAUUUUACAUUUGUAUUUUGGCACUAAAGUUACUGCUUUUUACGUGACAUUUGACUAGUUUUAAAAGAAACAGCAUCUUUUUUUAAAGUAUAAAAUCUGCUAAAUAUAUGCAAUGAUGUAUGUAAUAUUCAAUCCUCAAAUAUAAUCCAGGUUGUAUAAACUUUUGUAUAGUGAGUUUUAAUAUCGUAUGGCCGUACCAAUAUGUAUUGAUUCGUAUCAAAAGCCUUAGUUGUCUAUCCAAAGUGCUCCCUUAGAAUACAGUACCCUACACCUACCUGAACUUUACAAAGCAUUAAUAACUAUAUUUUGUUGCGUUUUUUUAUUUGUACCCUUUUUGAAUAAAAAUAGAUUUGUACUGUAUAUUUGUACCGCUGUGAACUACUUAAGGCUGUUUUGUUUUUGUUUUGCUGUUUUAAUUCUAUGUACUUAAGGACACAAAGAUAUUGUAUUUUUAUUGUUACAGCUAACUUCUUGGAGACAUUGCAUUUAUCAUGUUUGUUAAGUAAACACAAUAAUAUAUAUAUAUAUACUUACUAUUA
ensembl:lncRNA